rnacentral:sRNA from 1 species
UUCACCUUGUAAAGAGCAGAAAGAAAAAGUGUCACAGAUAGUAGGUCCUAAUAAUAAUUAACAAAUAUAUUGAUUUUCUAGGACGUGGUAUUUAUUCCAACAUGCUAGGAUUCCUUGGUGGUGUCUCCUGGGCGAUGCUAGUUGCAAGAACUUGCCAAUUGUAUCCAAAUGCAGCAGCAUCUACUUUAGUUCAUAAGUUCUUUUUAGUUUUUUCCAAGUGGGAAUGGCCAAAUCCUGUGCUGCUGAAGCAACCAGAAGAAAGCAAUCUGAAUUUGCCUGUCUGGGAUCCUCGGGUAAAUCCAUCAGAUAGGUAUCAUCUCAUGCCCAUAAUCACCCCUGCCUACCCACAACAGAAUUCUACGUAUAAUGUGUCCACAUCAACUCGAACAGUAAUGGUAGAAGAAUUUAAACAAGGUCUUGCAGUCACAGAUGAAAUUCUUCAAGGAAAGUCAGAUUGGUCCAAACUACUUGAGCCACCGAAUUUCUUUCAAAAGUAUAGACAUUAUAUAGUAUUGACUGCCAGCGCAUCAACAGAAG